GGAAAGAAGUAGAGCGACUUCCAGCAUCAAAGAUGAAUUUCAUACUCUGUGUGAUUAUAAUUGUGGCCGUUUUGACAGGUGGUGAGGCCCAGACGUUGUCAGAGUCGCCAUCUGUAAUAAUUAAACCGGCAAGCUCUCAUAAACUGACCUGCACCUACUCUGGGAUAAGUGAUAGUUCUGAUAUAGCAUGGGUAAGACAACCUCCAGGAAAAGGGCUGGAAUGGGUGUCAUAUAUAACAGGUCCAAGUGGAGGAAGCAAAUACUACUCAAAAGCUGUUGAAGGAAGGUUCACCAUCUCCAGAGACAACAGCAAGAGCCAGGUGUAUCUGCAGAUGAACAGCCUGAAGACUGAGGACACUGCUGUGUAUUACUGUGCUAGAAGAGCCACAGUGACAGAAGAGUCUGGAGAGAUGAACAAAAACUCACAGUGAAAAGAGGGGCACUGAACUGUGACUGUCUGUUCAAAAACACAGUUUUAGAGUCUU